rnacentral:misc_RNA from 1 species
GAUGAAGAACGUAGCAAAAUGCGAUAAGUAAUGCGAAUUGCAGAAUUCAGUGAGUCAUCGAAUCUUUGAACGCACAUUGCGCCCUGUGGUAUUCCGCAGGGCAUGCCUGUUCGAGCGUCAUUUCAACCCUCAAGCUCUGCUUGGUGUUGGGCCCUGCCCGCUGCGGCCGGCCCUAAAGACAGUGGCGGUGCCGCCUGGCCCUGAGCGUAGUACAUCUCUCGCUCCAGUGCCCGGUGGUAGCCUGCCAGAACCCCAACUCUCGUGGUUGACCUCGGAUCAGGUAGGGAUACCCGCUGAACUUAAGCAUAUUAAUAAGCGGAGGA